GGCCGAAAAUGUCCGGGGCUGAAACACGACACCGAAGCCGUGGACUCGCAAUGCGAGUGGUAGAGGAGCAUUCUUAAAACCGACGAAGCUGUACCGGAAGGAGCAGUGGAGGGAUAAGAAGAGAGAAUGCCGGAAUGAGUAGCGAGAGGAAGGUGGGAAUCCUUCCGGCCGAAUAUCUAAGGUUUCCAGAGUAAAGCUGAUCUGCUCUGGGUAAGUCGGGGCCUAAGGAGAGGUCGAAAGACGUAUCCGAUGGACAACAGGUUUAGAUUCCUGUACCACAUAUAAACAGAACUGUGGGGACGCAUGUGGAAAGCAUAAGCCGGGAAUGGAAAUACCGGUACAAACGGAAGAGGUGUCAGGCUGGCAAAUCCGCCUGGCAAGCCAAAGACGUGAUGUGGAGCGAAAUAAAAGUAGCGAAGUAUGUGAGCCAUGUGCCGAGAAAAGCCGCUAUUGUUUUAUAUGUGCCCGUACCGUAAACCGACACAGGUGGAUGAGGAGAGAAUCCUAAGGCCGACGGAAGAAGCAUUGUUAAGGAACUCGGCAAAAUGACCCCGUAACUUCGGGAGAAGGGGUGCCCACUUCAGGGUGGGCCGCAGAGAAUAGGCUCAAGCAACUGUUUAGCAAAAACACAGGUCUAUGCGAAACCGUAAGGUGAAGUAUAUGGGCUGACGCCUGCCCGGUGCUGGAAGGUUAAGAGGAGAGGUUAGUCGCAAGAUGAAGCUUUGAAUUUAAGCCCCAGUAAACGGCGGCCGUAACUAUAACGGUCCUAAGGUAGCGAAAUUCCUUGUCGGGU
rnacentral:rRNA from 1 species